rnacentral:rRNA from 1 species
AACGAACGCUGGCGGCAUGCCUAACACAUGCAAGUCGAACGUAGCCUUCGGGCUUAGUGGCGCACGGGUGCGUAACGCGUGGGAAUCUGCCCUUGGGUUCGGAAUAACAGUUAGAAAUGACUGCUAAUACCGGAUGAUGACGUAAGUCCAAAGAUUUAUCGCCCAGGGAUGAGCCCGCGUAGGAUUAGGUAGUUGGUGGGGUAAAGGCUCACCAAGCCGACGAUCCUUAGCUGGUCUGAGAGGAUGAUCAGCCACACUGGGACUGAGACACGGCCCAGACUCCUACGGGAGGCAGCAGUGGGGAAUAUUGGACAAUGGGCGCAAGCCUGAUCCAGCAAUGCCGCGUGAGUGAUGAAGGCCUUAGGGUUGUAAAGCUCUUUUACCAGGGAUGAUAAUGACAGUACCUGGAGAAUAAGCUCCGGCUAACUCCGUGCCAGCCGCCGCAGUAA